rnacentral:lncRNA from 1 species
UGUGCAUAAACAUUCCGAAUACGAGGGUGCAUUUAAGACAAAGAAAAUGUCAUGCAAUCAAAAAUCAAUGAGUAGUGGACAAUAGGAACAUGGUAGUCAUCUCAGAGAAGAGGGAAUAUCAGAUAGCAUGCAAAAGGGGUCAAGUAAAAAGGUCUUAUACAGUUUAGCAAGAAGUCAGAAUCAUAUGAAGAAACAAAAGUGAAACAAAGAUUUUGAAACUCAAUCGAGCAGUAGAUGAACUAACUUCAGGAACUCAAAUAGGUCCAAAAAGAUUAGGAUUUUGAAACCAAACAAGUCAAAUAUGAGGAACAAACAAAUCACGUAACGAGUAGCCUCAAAACUCGAAUGAACCCCCAAAUUCUAAUGUUUAUUCUAAUGAAAUAAGUACAAAAAUCUCAGAAAGGAACUGAGACCUUUAACUUGCAUUUUCCAGUAGAAGAAACUCAUGAAAAAACAUAUUCAAAGAACAACAUGCAAAAUACAGUAAAAGAGCUUAUAAGAACAUAGUAGAAGAACAACAUAAGAAACCCAAUAGAAGAAAAAUCAUACGAAACACAGUAGAAGAAACACAAUAGAAGAAGCACAUUAGAAUCGAAGUAGAAGAAACACAUAAGAAUCACGGUAGAACAUGCUAAAGAU